CAUCGCCGCGGUAAUACAGAGGGUGCAAGCGUUAAUCGGAAUUACUGGGCGUAAAGCGCGCGUAGGUGGUUUGUUAAGUUGGAUGUGAAAUCCCCGGGCUCAACCUGGGAACUGCAUCCAAAACUGGCAAGCUAGAGUAUGGUAGAGGGUGGUGGAAUUUCCUGUGUAGCGGUGAAAUGCGUAGAUAUAGGAAGGAACACCAGUGGCGAAGGCGACCACCUGGACUGAUACUGACACUGAGGUGCGAAAGCGUGGGGAGCAAACAGGAUUAGAUACCCCAGUAGUCCCUGUCUCUUAUACA
rnacentral:rRNA from 1 species